UACGGAGGGUGCAAGCGUUAUCCGGAUUCACUGGGUUUAAAGGGUGCGUAGGUGGGCAAGUAAGUCAGUGGUGAAAUCUCCGGGCUUAACCCGGAAACUGCCAUUGAUACUAUUUGUCUUGAAUACUGUGGAGGUCAGCGGAAUAUGUCAUGUAGCGGUGAAAUGCUUAGAUAUGACAUAGAACACCAAUUGCGAAGGCAGCUGACUACACAAAUAUUGACACUGAGGCACGAAAGCGUGGGGAUCAAACAGG
rnacentral:rRNA from 1 species